AGUGGCACCGGCACCGGGGUAGGGUGGGGCGAGCAGGGCGCUAGAACCGGAGCGAGGUGGGGCAAAGCAGAGCCAACACAGAGAGGACAAGAGCGUGGAGGACCGUGGCCACCCCGCAGGCGAGGAAGCAGUGGCGAAUCUAGGAUUUUAUCUAGGAUUUUCAUAUAUAAUUUGGUAAAUCCAUUUUAUUAAUUCAUUAAUAAUUAUAAAAUUGACAAUAUUAUUUGGUAUAUAUGCAAAAAAUAAUAGAAUAAGGCUUAAAUUUAUGGAUUAAUUAAGUUCAAACUAUCCACUAAGUAUUUUAGCGCUAAGCAAUUAGCAAUUAAAGUACACAUGAAUUUUUUAAAAAGACGAAGAACAAAAAAUUUGAUUAAAAAUUUACCAGGAUCACGAGAUCACGAGCGAGACUUGACGAGGACGAGGAUGAGGAUAAUUGGACAACGAUGGGCGGGGCAACAGCAGAUCGCCGACGGCAUGAACGGUGCCGAGCCGCCGACGUAGGGCAGGGCGAAGACUCGCGAUGCGCUUCCAAAGUUCCCGGUUCUACAUGAUCCCUAUUGACUGCCAACGGUAAUACGUCAUGAACUGAUGCGUAUUGGCAUAUUGGCCAUGUCUCGUUGGGCUGUUGGGAGCAUGGGCCGGCCUGACGCUCGCUGACUCCAGAGUCCAGACUCCACCUGCUAACGCUCGCAGACUCACACAGCCACACUCGCGGACAGAUGAGCAUUUUUUUCUAAUACCUAUAUAUACUCGAUGUCUACACGAAUUGUAGGGUAUGCCUAGCUACGCCACUGCGAGGAAGAGCACGGCCGCGCCAGCAGGGCAGGGCAGCACAUCCCAAUGAGACAAGCACAUGGUGGAGGUGAGCUUCCUAGGCGGUGAGGUGAGAUUUGUUAGCUGGGAUUGACAUAGUUUCAGAGUGAAAUCGUCCAUGGCCUGCUCGGGAGUUCCUGUUUCUGUUGUGCUACAGCGAAAAGGAACAAGGAGUUCAUCAAAGCAAAUA
rnacentral:lncRNA from 1 species